GUGGGCGUAGCUCAACGGCAGAGCGCUCGGUUGUGGUCCGAGUGGUUGUGGGUUCAAAUCCCAUCGCUCACCCCA
rnacentral:tRNA from 1 species